rnacentral:rRNA from 1 species
GGUUAAGCGACUAAGCGUACACGGUGGAUGCCCUGGCAGUCAGAGGCGAUGAAGGACGUGCUAAUCUGCGAUAAGCGUCGGUAAGGUGAUAUGAACCGUUAUAACCGGCGAUUUCCGAAUGGGGAAACCCAGUGUGUUUCGACACACUAUCAUUAACUGAAUCCAUAGGUUAAUGAGGCGAACCG